GCAAGUCGAGCGCGAUCUUCGGGUUGAGCGGCGGACGGGUUAGUAACGCGUGGGAAUAUGCCCAAAGGUACGGAAUAGCCUCUGGAAACGGAGAGUAAUACCGUAUGUGCCCUUCGGGGGAAAGAUUUAUCGCCUUUGGAUUAGCCCGCGUUAGAUUAGGUAGUUGGUGGGGUAAUGGCCUACCAAGCCUACGAUCUAUAGCUGGUUUUAGAGGAUGAUCAGCAACACUGGGACUGAGACACGGCCCAGACUCCUACGGGAGGCAGCAGUGGGGAAUCUUGGACAAUGGGCGCAAGCCUGAUCCAGCCAUGCCGCGUGAGUGAUGAAGGCCUUAGGGUCGUAAAGCUCUUUCGCCAGCGAUGAUAAUGACAGUACCUGGUAAAGAAACCCCGGCUAACUCCGUGCCAGCAGCCGCGGUAAUACGGAGGGGGUUAGCGUUGUUCCGGAAUUAC
rnacentral:rRNA from 1 species